rnacentral:rRNA from 1 species
UACGUAGGGUGCAAGCGUUAAUCGGAAUUACUGGGCGUAAAGCGUGCGCAGGCGGUUAUGUAAGACAGUUGUGAAAUCCCCGGGCUCAACCUGGGAACUGCAUCUGUGACUGCAUAGCUAGAGUACGGUAGAGGGGGAUGGAAUUCCGCGUGUAGCAGUGAAAUGCGUAGAUAUCAGGAGGAAUACCGAUGGCGAAGGCAGCCCCCUGGGUCGAUACUGACGCUCAUGCACGAAAGCGUGGGGAGCAAACAGG